GAUGAACGCUGGCGGCGUGCUUAACACAUGCAAGUCGAACGAAGUUGCGUACGGGUGAGUAACGCGUAAUCAACCUGCCCUUCAGAGGGGGACAACAGUUGGAAACGACUGCUAAUACCGCAUCUUGAAGGCGGGGAUUGCGGCUGAUUAGCGAGUUGGGGGGGGAACGGCCCACCCAGGCGAUGAUCAGUAGCCGGUCUGAUAGGAUGAACGGCCACAUUGGGACUGAGACAUGGCCCAGACUCCUACGGGAGGCAGCAGUGGGGAAUCUUCCGCAAUGGACGAAAGUCUGACGGAGCAACGCCGCGUGAGUGAUGACGGCCUUCGGGUUGUAAAGCUCUGUUAAUCGGGACGCGGUACCGGAAUAGAAAGCCACGGCUAACUACGUGCCAGCAGCCGCGGUAAUAC
rnacentral:rRNA from 1 species